rnacentral:hammerhead_ribozyme from 1 species
GUACUGAUGAAGAGUCCCAAAUUAGGUGGACGAAACAGCUGUCCAGUAC